GAUGAACGCUGGCGGCGUGCCUAAUACAUGCAAGUCGAGCGAACGGACGAGAAGCUUGCUUCUCUGAUGUUAGCGGCGGACGGGUGAGUAACACGUGGAUAACCUACCUAUAAGACUGGGAUAACUUCGGGAAACCGGAGCUAAUACCGGAUGAUAUUUUGAACCGCAUGGUUCAAAAGUGAAAGACGGCCUUGCUGUCACUUAUAGAUGGAUCCGCGCUGCAUUAGCUAGUUGGUAAGGUAACGGCUUACCAAGGCAACGAUGCAUAGCCGACCUGAGAGGGUGAUCGGCCACACUGGAACUGAGACACGGUCCAGACUCCUACGGGAGGCAGCAGUAGGGAAUCUUCCGCAAUGGGCGAAGGCCUGACGGAGCAACGCCGCGUGAGUGAUGAAGGUCUUCGGAUCGUAAAACUCUGUUAUUAGGGAAGAACAUAUGUGUAAGUAACUGUGCACAUCUUGACGGUACCUAAUCAGAAAGCCACGGCUAACUACGUG
rnacentral:rRNA from 1 species